ACUAGCUGACAAGAAUUGCAAUUACUCGGUCGUUGUUUGUUGUUGUCUAGUCAAAAUUGGUGGUAUGCGAGAUGUGAAGAUAAAACACAAACAUAAUCAGGUAGUCAUCUUUAUGAAUUUGGUUUCGUAGGACGUCACCAAGUCAAUUUUUAGACGUUGCCACCUGUUCGUGAAUAUCGAUACUCGUUGUGUCAGUACACUCUGCCACUCUUCCCGUCUUUCUACUUAUUCAGUGAUCCAGUUAAGUAGAAGAGUCGAAAAAGUCGCACUGUUGUCUGUUUGUGUCCUGAAGUGUUGAUAGAAAUAACGAUCAUAAUAAAUGGUAUCAAUCAUCAACUGUUAUUGAAGAUUAUUUCUACGAUUAGGAAAUAGGUACUUUAACAAGAACUUAUUAGGUGGACAUGAUUAAUCAUGAACGUAAG